rnacentral:lncRNA from 1 species
AUUCCCAAAUAGGUCAACCUUUUAAACUGCCUGCUGAAUCCAUGAGCAGGCAAGAGACAACCUGGCGAACUGAAACAUCUUAGUAGGCAGAGGAAAAGAAAGCAAAAGCGAUUCACGUAGUAGCGGCGAGCGAAAUGUGAGCAGCUUAAACCGUGAAAACGAGGUUGUGGGAGAGCAAUACAAGCGUUGUGCUGCUAGGCGAAGCUAUACGUAAUAGUUUUCUUGGUUUCGGGAAGGUUAUGUAAGGUUUUGCACUAUUUUGUUUUGUGUGUUUCUUUGUCGGUUUCUCAAGUCUUUUUGGGUUACUAUUUUCCUUUUAAUUGUUUUUAUUCUAUAUUAAAUUUUUAAUUCAUAAGAUUAAUAAAAACAACACCUUUUGAAAUCUACGAGUAGUUUUUAUAUAACCAACCUUUAUAAAUUUCAGGAAUAUUUUUUUGAUUCAUUAACAAUUUUUUGAUGUUAUGAUCUUUUUUUAUUUCUAAAUAUUUUUCAAGUUCAUGAAUAUUUUUCAAAUUUGUGAUAUUUUUAAAAUUCUCAAAUACUUCAUAUUUUUUAUUCAAGUGUAUGUUGUAUAACUCAUGAAUAUUUUUCUAAAUCUGUUAUCUUUUCCUAAAUUCAUAAACAUUUUUCUAAAUUCACAAGAAACAAAUUCAUCAAAAUGAAUAUGAAGAUAAACAAUACCAAGUCACUAUCCUUAUAUCCAUCAUUAGAUAUAUUUUCAUAAUUUAUUCAUUCAAUAUUAUAGUUGUUGAUAUUUUCUUCUAUAUAUUUGGUCAAAUUUAGAGAGAGUUGGCUUUUUGACUGAAAUUUAUACAACAUCUAUUUGGAGACAGAGGGAGUAGUGAAUAGUGUUUGUACUGUAAAGGAUUUGCAGUCCGUGAGUCAAGUUACUCUGUGUUUUUUAACAUAGUACAGACGCAAGCGCUCAUACAUACGCGCAUACACUCACCCCUAUGAACGCACACAUGCACACCCUACCCAUAUGAGCACCUUCGAGAGACUGAGCGGCAUAUCAUCUUGAUAUUUACGAAGUCACUGUAGACUCGUCGUCGUCGACGGGAACGUCUCUUCUCACUGAAAGCGCAUCGCCGGAAAUCCUGAAAUAAAUUCAGGAAUAAUGCGAGGACCAGGACUUGAACCCUGGUGGGCUGGGGAUACCACUGCCCGUCUAACCAUCGAACCAUAUGGGGUGUGGAUGCACCUAUGAGUCAUGGACGGCGGGAAUCUAAUUUCGCUAGAAAACCCUCACUCUGCAGUAAUGGGCCAACCGAUUCCCAAAUAGGUCAACCUUUUAAACUGCCUGCUGAAUCCAUGAGCAGGCAAGAGACAACCUGGCGAACUGAAACAUCUUAGUAGCCAGAGGAAAAGAAAGCAAAAGCGAUUCCCGUAGUAGCGGCGAGCGAAAUGGGAGCAGCCUAAACCGUGAAAACGGGGUUGUGGGAGAGCAAUACAAGCGUUGUGCUGCUAGGCGAAGCUAUACGUACUAGUUUUCUUGGUUUUGGGAAGGUUAUGUAAGGUUUUGCACUAUUUUGUUUUGUGUGUUUCUUUGUCGGUUUCUCAAGUCUUUUUGGGUUACUAUUUUCCUUUUAAUUGUUUUUAUUCUAUAUUAAAUUUUUAAUUCAUAAGAUUAAUAAAAACAACACCUUUUGAAAUCUACGAGUAGUUUUUAUAUAACCAACCUUUACAAAUUUCAGGAAUAUUUUUUUGAUUCAUUAACAAUUUUUUGAAGUCAUGGUUGUUUUUUUAUUUCUAAAUAUUUUUCAAGUUCAUGAAUAUUUUUCAAAUUUGUGAUAUUUUUAAAAUUCUCAAAUACUUCAUAUUUUUUUAUUCAAGUGUAUGUUGUAUAACUCAUGAAUAUUUUUCUAAAUCUGUUAUCUUUUCCUAAAUUCGUAAACAUUUUUCUAAAUUCACAAAAAACAAAUUCAUGAAAAUAAAUAUGAAGAUAAACAAUACCAAGUCACUAUCCUUAUAUCCAUCAUUAGAUAUAUUUUCAUAAUCUAGUCAUUCAAUAUUAUAGUUGUUGAUAUUUUCUUCUAUAUAUUUGGUCAAAUUUAGAGAGAGUUGGCUUUUUGACUGAAAUUUGUACAACAUCUAUUUGGGGACAGAGGGAGUAGUGAAUAGUGUUUGUACUGUAAAGGAUUUGCAGUCCGUGAGUCAAGUUACUCUGUGUUUUUUAACAUAGUACAGACGCAAGCGCUCAUACAUACGCGCAUACACUCAACCCUAUGAACGCACACAUGCACACCCUACCCAUAUGAGCACCUUCGAGAGACUGAGCGGCAUAUCAUCUUGAUAUUUACGAAGUCACUGUAGACUCGUCGUCGUCGACGGGAACGUCUCUUCUCACUGAAAGCGCAUCGCCGGAAAUCCUGAAAUAAAUUCAGGAAUAAAGCGAGCACCAGGACUUGAACCCUGGUGGGCUGGGGAUACCACUGCCCGUCUAACCAUCGAACCAUAUGGGGUGUGGAUGCACCUAUGAGUCAUGGACAGCGGGAAUCUAAUUUCGCUAGAAAACCCUCACUCUGCAGUAAUGGGCCAACCGAUUCCCAAAUAGGUCAACCUUUUAAACUGCCUGCUGAAUCCAUGAGCAGGCAAGAGACAACCUGAUGAACUGAAACAUCUUAGUAGGCAGAGGAAAAGAAAGCAAAAGCGAUUCCCGUAGUAGCGGCGAGCGAAAUGGGAGCAGCCUAAACCGUGAAAACGGGGUUGUGGGAGAGCAAUACAAGCGUUGUGCUGCUAGGCGAAGCUAUACGUACUAGUUUUCUUGGUUUUGGGAAGGUUAUGUAAGGUUUUGCACUAUUUUGUUGUGUGUGUUUCUUUGUCGGUUUCUCAAGUCUUUUUGGUUACUAUUUUCCUUUUUAUUAUUUUUAUUCUAUAUUAAAUUUUUAAUUCAUAAGAUUAAUAAAAACAACACCUUUUGAAAUCUACGAGUAGUUUUUAUAUAACCAAGCUUUACAAAUUUCAGGAAUAUUUUUUUGAUUCAUUAACAAUUUUUUGAAGUCAUGGUUGUUUUUUUAUUUCUAAAUAUUUUUCAAGUUCAUGAAUAUUUUUCAAAUUUGUGAUAUUUUUAAAAUUCUCAAAUACUUCAUAUUUUUUAUUCAAGUGUAUGUUGUAUAACUCAUGAAUAUUUUUCUAAAUCUGUUAUUUUUUCCUAAAUUUGUAAACAUUUUUCUAAAUUCACAAAAAACAAAUUCAUCAAAAUGAAUAUGAAGAUAAACAAUACCAAGUCAAUAUCCUUAUAUCCAUCAUUAGAUAUAUUUUCAUAAUCUAUUCAUUCAAUAUUAUAGUUGUUGAUAUUUUCUUCUAUAUAUUUGGUCAAAUUUAGAGAGAGUUGGCUUUUUGACUGAAAUUUCUACAACAUCUAUUUGGGGACAAAGGGAGUAGUGAAUAGUGUUUGUACUGUAAAGGAUUUGCAGUCCGUGAGUCAAGUUACUCUGUGUUUUUUAACAUAGUACAGACGCAAGCGCUCAUACCUACGCGCAUACACUCAUCCCUAUGAACGCACACAUGCACACCCUACCCAUAUGAGCACCUUCGAGAGACUGAGCGGCAUAUCAUCUUGAUAUUUACGAAGUCACUAUAGACUCGUCGUCGUCGACGGGAACGUCUCUUCUCACUGAAAGCGCAUCGCCGGAAAUCCUGAAAUAAAUUCAGGAAUAAUGCGAGCACCAGGACUUGAACCCUGGUGGGCUGGGGAUACCACUGCCUGUCUAACCAUCGAACCAUAUGGGGUGUGGAUGCACCUAUGAGUCAUGGACGGCGGGAAUCUAAUUUCGCUAGAAAACCCUCACUCUGCAGUAAUGGGCCAACCGAUUCCCAAAUAGGUCAACCUUUUAAACUGCCUGCUGAAUCCAUGAGCAGGCAAGAGACAACCUGGCGAACUGAAACAUCUUAGUAGGCAGAGGAAAAGAAAGCAAAAGCGAUUCCUGUAGUAGCGGCGAGCGAAAUGGGAGCAGCCUAAACCGUGAAAACGGGGUUGUGGGAGAGCAAUACAAGCGUUGCGCUGCUAGGCGAAGC